rnacentral:rRNA from 1 species
GAUGAACGCUAGCGGCAGGCUUAAUACAUGCAAGUCGUGGGGCAGCAUGAGUGUAGCAAUACAUUUGAUGGCGACCGGCAAACGGGUGCGGAACACGUACACAACCUUCCUAUAAGUGGGGAAUAGCCCAGAGAAAUUUGGAUUAAUACCCCGUAACAUAAUGAUGUGGCAUCACAUUAUUAUUAUAGCUUCGGCGCUUAUUGAUGGGUGUGCGGCUGAUUAGAUAGUUGGCGGGGUAACGGCCCACCAAGUCUACGAUCAGUAGCUGAUGUGAGAGCAUGAUCAGCCACACGGGCACUGAGACACGGGACCGACUCCUACGGGAGGCAGCAGUAAGGAAUAUUGGUCAAUGGACGCAAGUCUGAACCAGCCAUGCCGCGUGAAGGAUUAAGGUCCUCUGGAUUGUAAACUUCUUUUAUCUGGGACGAAAAAAGGCGAUUCUUCGUCACUUGACGGUACCAGAUGAAUAAGCACCGGCUAACUCCGUGCCAGCCGCCGCAGUAACAC